UACGUAGGGUGCAAGCGUUAAUCGGAAUUACUGGGCGUAAAGCGUGCGCAGGCGGUGAUGUAAGACAGGUGUGAAAUCCCCGGGCUUAACCUGGGAACUGCGCUUGUAACUAGCAGGCUAGAGUGUGGCAGAGGGGGGUGGAAUUCCAGGUGUAGCAGUGAAAUGCGUAGAUAUCUGGAGGAACACCGAUGGCGAAGGCAGCCCCCUGGGCUAACACUGACGCUCAUGCACGAAAGCGUGGGGAGCAAACAGG
rnacentral:rRNA from 1 species